AACAAGGCGUACCUGCGGACCUGCGGAAGGAUCAUUAACACUUAUCCAUUACCAACCACGCGAACUUUGAUGUACUCGGCGACUUGGGUAACAGCAAGUCUCUGGGCUAGCAAUAGCCCUUAGAUUUGUCCAAGGCGUCUUUUUAUCAAAAACCACUUUUAUUGUUAGUCUGACUGUUUGGCGGACCUUAACCGGCCGCAUCAUCAAUUAAAACAACUUUCAACAACGGAUCUCAGAUCG
rnacentral:misc_RNA from 1 species